GACGUAGGACGCGAGCGUUAUCCGGAGUUACUGGGCGUAAAGGGCGGGCAGGCGGUCGUGCAAGAUGGGUGUGAAAUCUCCCGGCUCAACCGGGAGGGGCCACUCGUGACUGCGCGGCUGGAGGGCAGCAGAGGCGCGUGGAAUUCCGGGUGGAGUGGUGAAAUGCGUAGAGAUCCGGAGGAACACCAGAGGCGAAGGCGGCGCGCUGGGCUGCACCUGACGCUGAACCGCGAAAGCCAGGGGAGCGAACGGG
rnacentral:rRNA from 1 species